GACGAACGCUGGCGGCGUGCUUAACACAUGCAAGUCGAACGGAAAGGCCCUGCUUUUGUGGGGUGCUCGAGUGGCGAACGGGUGAGUAACACGUGAGUAACCUGCCCUUGACUUUGGGAUAACUUCAGGAAACUGGGGCUAAUACCGGAUAGGAGCUCCUGCUGCAUGGUGGGGGUUGGAAAGUUUCGGCGGUUGGGGAUGGACUCGCGGCUUAUCAGCUUGUUGGUGGGGUAGUGGCUUACCAAGGCUUUGACGGGUAGCCGGCCUGAGAGGGUGACCGGCCACAUUGGGACUGAGAUAAGGCCCAGACUCCUACGGGAGGCAGCAGUGGGGAAUAUUGCACAAUGGGCGGAAGCCUGAUGCAGCAACGCCGCGUGCGGGAUGACGGCCUUCGGGUUGUAAAACGCUUUCGCCUGUGACGAAGCGUGAGUGACGGUAAUGGGUAGAGAAGCACCGGCUAACUACGUG
rnacentral:rRNA from 1 species